GAUGAAGAACGUAGUGAAAUGCGAUAAGUAAUGUGAAUUGCAGUAUUCAGUGAAUCAUCGAAUCUUUGAACGCACAUUGCGCCCGCGAGUAUUCUCGCGGGCAUGCCUGUCCGAGCGUCAUUUCAACCCUCAGGGCCCGCCUGCUUCGGCAGGCGCGGCGCUGGUGUUGGGGAUCGGCCUAACCGCCGUCCCCCAAAUACAGUGGCGGUCUCGCUGCAGCCUCCCCUGCGUAGUAGCAACACUCGCAUGCGGAGCGCGGCGCGGCCACGCCGUAAAACCCCCGACUUUCUGAACGUUGACCUCGGAUCAGGUAGGAAUACCCGCUGAACUUAAGCAUAUCAAUAAGCGGAGGA
rnacentral:misc_RNA from 1 species